rnacentral:rRNA from 1 species
AAGAGUCUCCGCUAAAGGAUCAGCCUAUGUCCUAUCAGCUUGUUGGUGAGGUAAUGGCUCACCAAGGCUAUGACGGGUAUCCGGCCUGAGAGGGUGAUCGGACACACUGGAACUGAGACACGGUCCAGACUCCUACGGGAGGCAGCAGUAGGGAAUAUUGCUCAAUGGGGGAAACCCUGAAGCAGCAACGCCGCGUGGAGGAUGAAGGUUUUAGGAUUGUAAACUCCUUUUGUGAGAGAAGAUUAUGACGGUAUCUCACGAAUAAGCACCGGCUAACUCCGUGCCAGCAGCCGCGGUAAUACGGAGGGUGCAAGCGUUACUCGGAAUCACUGGGCGUAAAGAGUGCGCAGGCGGGGUGGUAAGUCAGAUGUGAAAUCCUGUAGCUUAACUACAGAACUGCAUUUGAAACUAUCACUCUAGAGUAUGGGAGAGGUAGGUGGAAUUCUUGGUGUAGGGGUAAAAUCCGUAGAGAUCAAGAGGAAUACUCAUUGCGAAGGCGACCUACUGGAACAUUACUGACGCUCAUGCACGAAAGCGUGGGGAGCAAACAGGAUUAGAUACCCUGGUAGUCCACGCCCUAAACGAUGAAUGCUAGUUGUUGCCCUGCUUGUCAGGGCAGUAAUGCAGCUAACGCAUUAAGCAUUCCGCCUGGGGAGUACGGUCGCAAGAUUAAAACUCAAAGGAAUAGACGGGGACCCGCACAAGCGGUGGAGCAUGUGGUUUAAUUCGAAGAUACGCGAAGAACCUUACCUAGGCUUGACAUUGAUAGAAUCCUAUAGAGAUAUGGGAGUGCCCUUCGGGGAGCUUGAAAACAGGUGCUGCACGGCUGUCGUCAGCUCGUGUCGUGAGAUGUUGGGUUAAGUCCCGCAACGAGCGCAACCCUCGUCCUUAGUUGCUAGCAGCUCGGCUGAGCACUCUAAGGAGACUGCCUUCGUAAGGAGGAGGAAGGUGAGGACGACGUCAAGUCAUCAUGGCCCUUACGCCUAGGGCUACACACGUGCUACAAUGGGGCAUACAAUGAGGAGCAAUACCGCGAGGUGGAGCAAAUCUCUAAAAUGUCUCUCAGUUCGGAUUGUAGUCUGCAACUCGACUACAUGAAGCUGGAAUCGCUAGUAAUCGCAAAUCAGCAAUGUUGCGGUGAAUACGUUCCCGGGUCUUGUACUCACCGCCCGUCACACCAUGGGAGUUGUAUUCGCCUUAAGUCGGGAUACUAAAUUGGUUACCGCCCACGGCGGAUGCAGCGACUGGGGUGAAGUCGUAACAAGGUAACCGUAGGUGAACCUGC